rnacentral:rRNA from 1 species
AGUGAACGCUGGCGGUAGGCCUAACACAUGCAAGUCGAACGGCAGCACAGUAAGAGCUUGCUCUUACGGGUGGCGAGUGGCGGACGGGUGAGGAAUACAUCGGAAUCUACUUUUUCGUGGGGGAUAACGUAGGGAAACUUACGCUAAUACCGCAUACGACCUACGGGUGAAAGCAGGGGAUCUUCGGACCUUGCGCGAUUGAAUGAGCCGAUGUCGGAUUAGCUAGUUGGCGGGGUAAAGGCCCACCAAGGCGACGAUCCGUAGCUGGUCUGAGAGGAUGAUCAGCCACACUGGAACUGAGACACGGCCCAGACUCCUACGGGAGGCAGCAGUGGGGAAUAUUGGACAAUGGGCGCAAGCCUGAUCCAGCCAUACCGCGUGGGUGAAGAAGGCCUUCGGGUUGUAAAGCCCUUUUGUUGGGAAAGAAAAGCAGCAGGUUAAUACCCCGCUGUUCUGACGGUACCCAAAGAAUAAGCAUCGGCUAACUUCGUG